UCCGGCAACGGCAAUGGAGUUUGCCUUCCUAGGUAAAACUGGGAAAACCGCGUGAGCUAAUGACUCCUUCCAAGCG
rfam:Verrucomicrobia bacterium 13_2_20CM_55_10 13_2_20cm_scaffold_1270, whole genome shotgun sequence.